rnacentral:rRNA from 1 species
GACGAACGCUGGCGGCGGGCUUAACACAUGCAAGUCGAACGGAAAGGCCCCUUUGGGGGUACUCGAGUGGCGAACGGGUGAGUAACACGUGAGUAACCUGCCCUUGACUUCGGUAUAACUUCAGGAAACUGGGGCUAAUACCGGAUAGGAAUCCUUGCUGCAUGGUGGGGGUUGGAAAGCUUCGGCGGUUUUGGAUGGACUCGCGGCUUAUCAGCUUGUUGGUGGGGUAGUGGCUUACCAAGGCUUUGACGGGUAGCCGGCCUGAGAGGGCGACCGGCCACAUUGGGACUGAGAUACGGCCCAGACUCCUACGGGAGGCAGCAGUGGGGAAUAUUGCACAAUGGGCGGAAGCCUGAUGCAGCAACGCCGCGUGCGGGAUGACGGCCUUCGGGUUGUAAACCGCUUUCAGCAGGGGCGAAGCUUGUGGUGACGGUACCUGCAGAAGAAGCACCGGCUAACUACGUG